rnacentral:rRNA from 1 species
CGUAGGGGCAAGCGUUAUCCGGAUUUACUGGGGUGUAAAGGGAGCGUAGACGGCAUGGCAAGUCUGAUGUGAAAGGCAGGGGCUCAACUCCUGGACUGCAUUGGAAACUGCCAGGCUUGAGUGCCGGAGGGGUAAGCGGAAUUCCUAGUGUAGCGGUGAAAUGCGUAGAUAUUAGGAGGAACACCAGUGGCGAAGGCGGCUUACUGGACGGUAACUGACGUUGAGGCUCGAAAGCGUGGGGAGCAAACAGGAUU